rnacentral:rRNA from 1 species
GAAGGGUGCAAGCGUUACUCGGAAUUACUGGGCGUAAAGCGUGCGUAGGUGGUUGUUUAAGUCUGUUGUGAAAGCCCUGGGCUCAACCUGGGAACUGCAGUGGAAACUGGACAACUAGAGUGUGGUAGAGGGUAGCGGAAUUCCCGGUGUAGCAGUGAAAUGCGUAGAGAUCGGGAGGAACAUCCAUGGCGAAGGCAGCUACCUGGACCAACACUGACACUGAGGCACGAAAGCGUGGGGAGCAAACAGGAUUAGAUACCCUGGUAGUCCACGCCCUAAACGAUGCGAACUGGAUGUUGGGUGCAAUUUGGCACGCAGUAUCGAAGCUAACGCGUUAAGUUCGCCGCCUGGGGAGUACGGUCGCAAGACUG